rnacentral:rRNA from 1 species
GACGAACGCUGGCGGCGUGCCCAAUACAUGCAAGUCGAGCGAAGUUUUUCUGGUGCUUGCACUAGAAAAACUUAGCGGCGAACGGGUGAGUAACACGUAAAGAACCUGCCUCAUAGACUGGGACAACUAUUGGAAACGAUAGCUAAUACCGGAUAACAGCAUUAACUGCAUGGUUGAUGUUUGAAAGUUGGUUUUGCUAACACUAUGAGAUGGCUUUGCGGUGCAUUAGCUAGUUGGUGGGGUAAAGGCCUACCAAGGCGACGAUGCAUAGCCGACCUGAGAGGGUGAUCGGCCACACUGGGACUGAGACACGGCCCAGACUCCUACGGGAGGCAGCAGUAGGGAAUCUUCCGCAAUGGGCGAAAGCCUGACGGAGCAACGCCGCGUGAGUGAAGAAGGAUUUCGGUUCGUAAAGCUCUGUUGUUAGGGAAGAAUGAUUGUGUAGUAACUAUACACAGUAGAGACGGUACCUAACCAGAAAGCCACGGCUAACUACGUGCCAGCAGCCGCGGUAAUACGUAGGUGGCAAGCGUUGUCCGGAAUUAUUGGGCGUAAAGCGCGCGCAGGUGGUUUAAUAAGUCUGAUGUGAAAGCCCACGGCUCAACCGUGGAGGGUCAUUGGAAACUGUUAAACUUGAGUGCAGGAGAGAAAAGUGGAAUUCCUAGCGUAGCGGUGAAAUGCGUAGAGAUUAGGAGGAACACCAGUGGCGAAGGCGGCUUUUUGGCCUGUAACUGACACUGAGGCGCGAAAGCGUGGGGAGCAAACAGG